GAACUGCGAUAAGUAAUGUGAAUUGCAGAAUUCAGUGAAUCAUCGAGUCUUUGAACGCACAUUGCGCCCCCUGGCAUUCCGGGGGGCAUGCCUGUCCGAGCGUCAUUACAACCCUCAGGCCCCCGGGCCUGGCGUUGGGGAUCGGCGGAAGCCCCCUGCGGGCACAACGCCGUCCCCCAAAUACAGUGGCGGUCCCGCCGCAGCUUCCAUUGCGUAGUAGCUAACACCUCGCAACUGGAGAGCGGCGCGGCCACGCCGUAAAACACCCAACUUCUGAAUGUUGACCUCGAAUCAGGUAGGAAUACCCGCUGAACUUAAGC
rnacentral:misc_RNA from 1 species